CAUGGCCGUUCUUAGUUGGUGGAGUGAUUUGUCUGGUUAAUUCCGAUAACGAACGAGACCUUUAACUGCUAAUUAGUCAUUCUCAUUUUAUGGGGCACGACUUCUUAGAGGGACUAUGCAUAUCAAGUACAUGGAGGUUUGAGGCAAUAACAGGUCUGUGAUGCCCUUAUAUGUCCUGGGCUGCACGCGUGCUACACUGAUGCAUACAACAAGUGCCUAGCUAGACAUAGUAUGGCAAUCUGGAAUAUGCAUCGUGGUGGGGAUAGAUCUUUGCAAUUAUAGAUCUUGAACGAGGAAUUCCUAGUAAGUGCAAGUCAUCAUCUUGCAUUGAUUAUGUCCCUGCCCGGGAGAGCACACCGCCCGUCGCUCCUACCGAUACCGGGUGAUCCGGUGAACCUUUGGACCUU
rnacentral:rRNA from 1 species